UUUCCGUAGGUGAACCUGCGGAAGGAUCAUUCAUAAUAAGUGUUUUAGGGCACUUUUUAAACAAUCUAUAUCCACCUUGUGUGCAACGUUAUGAGUCCCUCUAACGUUAUCUUUUAGGUUACGGAAGGGGGAACCUCUACAACUGACCAACAUCACCAUUUACUUUUAUGUAUAAACAUUUGUUAUCACGUAUUAACUUAAUUCGAAAAUACAACUCUCAACAACGGAUCUCUUGGCUCUC
rnacentral:misc_RNA from 1 species